rnacentral:lncRNA from 1 species
GGGCGGGCGGACGGGGGACGGCCCGAGUGAGGCGUCCUCCGAAGGCUGCGGGCCCGAAGCCAGAACUCCUUCCUCUCCGAAGACCUCGGGGGUGGGGCUCGCGCUUCCGCAGCGGGCCUAGAGCGAGAGGCAGGCGGCAGGUCAAGAGACUGCUCUCCUCCCCAAGCUAGGGGAACCUUCUGGGACUCCAUCAACUGACAAUGAGGGGAUAAUGGUCCCUCACUGCCCCAUCAGGAAAGGCUCAUGGGUGAUUGGGACCUUUGCUUGAAACCCAACUUACUGGCCAGGAACCUCAAGUUCUGGGACCAGGCGCCUUCCUCCCUCCCACUGUGCCAGAGGAGGGGAGACAAAAUCCCUCAAUGGCUGUCUAGCUCCAGGCAGAUCAGCUGCCACGGGGACUGCUGAGCAGGUGGGAAUUGGACUGUACCAUUGAAAUAGCUUGGGGUGUCGGUGGGCCGCCCCCGGGCCAGCACCAUGUUCCAGCUGGAGCUUCGAGCCUCGGCCUGGCUGCUCCAGGAGUGUACGCCUGAGCUCAGGGUGUCCCGCGAGCUUUGAGAGGCCUUUGAUGGGUUCUGAAACAACAGGAUUGGGGAGAGGCUGUCGAUGCUGAGGCACGAGAGAAUUUGCUCCUGCUCCUCCAGAGAAAAUGGCUGGGACAGGCUGUUGAGGAAUAAUUCUGCAGGGAAAAGUGGAAGAUGGCUGUGAAAGACUGGGAGGAGGCUGGCUGUGUUUUCAGGGGUUCUUCCUGCACAGUCGGUAGAAGCUGAGCUGCUGGGGAAGGGGCUGGAAGAAAGCCCACACCGCAGGUAUCAGUAGCAAAUUCAAAAACUACAGAAUCAGCUCCAGAGGACUUUGUUAACAAGAAAGAGAAGAUUGAAAACAGCCCUGGGGCUACACCAACUCAAGAGCUCCCAGGCAAAGUGGCAUCCUGGACCCACCAUCUCUCCUACCCCAUCCUCAGUCGGUACUUCCCCAGGCACCGUUUGUUCUGGCAUGGGGCUAGUUCAGCCCUGGGACCACCCUCAUCCUUAUAACUACCAGCUGUCUUUGGUGAGGU